GGGCGCGUCCCCGGCGGGCACCGGCCCGCGUCCGCGCGCCCUGCCCUCCCGGGGAGGCUUAUUCGCCUCCGGGGAGGGGGUCUCUGACUCAGCAGCGCGCCUGCGGAGACUUGCGGGGCGCAGUCCUGCGGGGCCGUCCCGGGCGGGGCCGCGCUCCCGGCCCGCGGAAGCGUCUUGCUCAGGGAAAGCGUUUCUGUGAGUGUGAGCGGGAGCAGCGAGGCAUACUACGUAAUAGGAUGUGAACUGCGUGUUCCUGUUUUGUAAUUUCAACCUGUUUUGUUGGUGCUUAGGAAAGUGAAACUACUGAAAGGAUCGUAAGCGCACAAACUAAUUCCAGGCGUUGCAGAAGAGUGAUUCAGACUUCGGGGCAGAAGUAGACUACGACUUGGCUGCCUGGCGUGCGCUUUGUGAACAGGUGACAGAUUGACGGGAGUCUUCAUUCUCUGUUAAAUGUGGUUUCCGCUUCUGUGUAGUGUUUGGAGUGCAUGUAAAUCAGAAUAAACAGAAAGAGCAGCGUUGCAAGCGGGAGGUGUUGUGUGCGCGUUUAUGUCUGAUACCCUGUCUAAAAGACCUAGUUCAAAAGCCUUAGUCCUUCUUGGCCCUCUGAACUGAGAGUGGAAGCCUCUACUCGUGCAGCUUUGCCACAAUGAUUAUUUUAUUACAACAAGUAGUACAUGGACAGUAAUUAUCUCUGCCUUUCCCUUACCUGCCACAGUACCUGAAACCUAGGGCCAUGCAAGAAUGGAGUCAUUGGUGAAGGCAAACAUUGGUGGAAUCUUACUCCUAUGGGAAAGCAACAUGCGCAGCCACAAUAGAAGGUCUUUGCCGGCAGUGGUUCGCUUUGCUCAGCCUGGGACUUGUCAUCCAACCCAGUGCCGCACUGGGAGGGAGGCUUCCCACCACUGCAGUCCCUGUCACAGAGCUCGUGGGACAGUGGGCUGCACAGGCUUGCUGCUCCCUUGAUGUGGACCUUCUCUUUAAGAUUUGCUCAGCUCAAAGAUACUGUAAGUGUUUGGAGGUUGAUUGUGCCUUUUAUAUUCCUUUAUUUUUCAGUUCUUAGUGGUUCAGUUUUGUGCUCAGAAACUAUUUGUUGAGCACCUAGUAUGUGGCCAACAUUGUGGUAGGCACAGAGUGCAGGAACAGAUCAGUAAUCGGGUUAUUCUUUUCAGAGUCAUGGAGGCUGCAAGUGAAUGUUGCUGAUCCCAGUCGGAUUACUCCCAGUCCUAGUUGUCUAGACAGUGUCAGAAACUGAGAUUCAAGUUGAAACUGACCUACUAAAUUGGAAUCAUGCAGGCUGCAACAUAGUCUUGUUGGGCUGGUCCUGGGUGGAACCCUGACUAAUAUAGUCUACUGAGGUAAGGCACUCUCAGAGGAAGGCACUAGAAAUUACUCACCAAAACACAAGGUCCUCCUAGCUUGAAAGGGGAUUUCCAUGUAUUAUACGCUAGUGAUGCAGUUUGUGUGUAGAUAUAAAGCAAAUAAUAGUCCUGUUUUAUAGUUGGAAAACCAAAGCUCAGAAAAAAAGCAAUUUGCUUCAGGUACUCCACAUAGACUAUGCUUAGCACUCCCAGCCCCCUUUUAUAGUCUUCUGCUCCAUUGUUUGGGCCCUGGGCCCCCACCAGAAGCAGAAGCAUUAAGGGAGCAACAGAUCAGUCACAACCUGAGCAAAACAGAGCCACAGAGGGAGGCCCUGAGAAACAGAGGUGAGGGAUGUAUCCUAGGCCUUCCACUUGAGUGUUUAAGAGGCUCUGCUCGCGGCAGCAUUGCCUGUAGCAGUUAAAGUUGGGAGUCGCCCUAGUAGGUGAGCCGUUAAAGAAAACGUGAUGUGAAUAUGUGUACCUCAAGCAAAGCGAACAGCAGCUGGCAGCGGUGACCUUAGAGAGAAAGCAUUUUAUUUUCAAAAAAGACAUCCCACAGCAACUCAGAGAUAGUCUUCAAAUGUGUGUAGACAGUUUUCUCCUAUCCUCUUAGAAUGACUCCUGUUGGAUACAUUGGAAGCAUUGGAUCUGAUUUUUUUUUUCCUCCCACAUUCUGGAAAGCUCACUUCUUGAAUGGAUAAAUCAUGCUGUUCAGAGAAAAAGAUGCAUUAUGAGUAAAUACUAAACAUUUUGACUUUCAUAGAUGAAAAGUAGUGCAUCUACCAACUUCUUAAAAUUUGAAUCUCAGAAGAUUAAAGGUCUUACAUGUUUAUGUUAGGGGCCAUGAAUGUUCGGUGUCAUAGAAGAAAAUCAUGAAGCUCAUUCAGUAGUA